GACGAACGCUGGCGGCGUGCUUAACACAUGCAAGUCGAACGGAAAGGCCCUGCUUUUGUGGGGUGCUCGAGUGGCGAACGGGUGAGUAACACGUGAGUAACCUGCCCUUGACUUUGGGAUAACUUCAGGAAACUGGGGCUAUUACCGGAUAGGAGCUCCUGCUGCAUGGUGGGGGUUGGAAAGUUUCGGCGGUUGGGGAUGGACUCGCGGCUUAUCAGCUUGUUGGUGGGGUAGUGGCUUACCAAGGUUUUGACGGGUAGCCGGCCUGAGAGGGUGACCGGCCACAAUGGGACUGAGAUACGGCCCAGACUCCUACGGGAGGCAGAAGGGGGGAAUAUUGCACAAUGGGCGGAAGCCUGAUGCAGCAACGCCGCGUGCGGGAUGACGGCCUUCGGGUUGUAAACCGCUUUCGCCUGUGACGAAGCGUGAGUGACGGUAAUGGGUAAAGAAGCACCGGCUAACUACGUG
rnacentral:rRNA from 1 species